rnacentral:lncRNA from 1 species
UCUCUAACUAGUUCAUUUGGAUAGUUUAUUGUAAACUACCAUAUGAAUAAAUUAGACUGCAAUUUAUCUGAGUUGGUCAAUAUGCUGGUCACUGCUAAAGGUACCUUAAAAACUUCAAGGAGCUCUGUUCUUACUGUUGAGUAGGCACCUUCUAAGAGAAAGUCUCAAGGAAAGAAAAAGAAUAACCCUAUUAAGAAGC